rnacentral:lncRNA from 1 species
GAAAGUCUAUCUAUUUGAUGGCAAUUUUACAGAAAUAAAUUCAUACACUUUAGUUAAUAAAAUAUGUGUUGUCCACAUUGUCAUUUAAAAACAAUAUUUUACAUAAGAUCAACAACAAGCUGAGUAUGCAAACAUUAAUACUGCACAUGCACACAAAAUAUAAUUAGUUAGCAUUAAUUGUAUACACACAUCGUACAUUACAGAUUACAAGAGAGGAGUUUGAUAAUUAUUACAGUGGAGUCAGUGCUUCUGUUGAUAGCGAUGCUUACUUCAACUUAAUGAUGACCAAUGCUUAUAAACUUUAAUGCCAAACAGCGGAAUGGCUUAUUAUUGAACUGAAAAAAACUUUUGUGAAUUCUUAUAGACUUUAAUUCCAAAAGGUGGACAUACAACGCCCAAUAUUAUUAUGAGUUAUCAUUUUUUUUUAUAUUGUUGUAAAUUUCACUGAAUGACAAUCAUUGUUUUAUUCACAUGCAACUGAGAAUUUUUAUAAAACAUAUAAUAAAGAAUAUUUGCACUUUAAGAUUGCUUGAUUAAUAAGCCCGAACAUAAUAGUCCUCCAAAAGAGGUAUUUACAAUGAUAACAUAAUAGAGUUCUUUUAAUUAGUCAGUGGCGGAUCCAGGGUGAUUGUGGUGUGGGUGUCUGAGGGUUGGAACCCCCUUUUAUUUAAACGAUCAAUGCUAAAUGCAUUUGAAUUGGAGCAUACAGUUGGAACCCCCCCCUCCCCCCUUUUUUUAAAAUGGCUGGAGCCGCCCCUGUUAGUUGCUUAACAUGUAAGAAAUUAUUCUCCAUCAGAUAUUUAAUAACUAAUACAAAUCAACACUGAACAUUUAAAUACAAUUACACAAAAUAGAGACUAAACACCACAUAAAUUAACAAAUAUUAAUGAAUUAAAGAAGCGAAAUGUCAGAAAGAGAGAAAGAGCUAGGAAAAACAAAAGUGCAAUAUAUGGUAGUUGGUUCGUUAAAAGAGAUAAUAAUUUCCGUAAGAUGAUUAACUUGAAGGAGAAUAAGCUAACAGAACUUCUGUGAUAACUUGUCAAAAAUAGUUUAUUUUGGAAUCUAACAGAAAUACGAUAAAAAGAUGCAAUGGUUAUCAAAUCAGUUUGUCUGUUUAACUUGACAGAAAAUUGACAGUUUUUUUU